AGAGUUUGAUCCUGGCUCAGAUUGAACGCUGGCGGCAGGCCUAACACAUGCAAGUCGAGCGGAUGACGGGAGCUUGCUCCCGAAUUCAGCGGCGGACGGGUGAGUAAUGCCUAGGAAUCUGCCUGGUAGUGGGGGACAACGUCUCGAAAGGGACGCUAAUACCGCAUACGUCCUACGGGAGAAAGCAGGGGACCUUCGGGCCUUGCGCUAUCAGAUGAGCCUAGGUCGGAUUAGCUAGUUGGUGAGGUAAUGGCUCACCAAGGCGACGAUCCGUAACUGGUCUGAGAGGAUGAUCAGUCACACUGGAACUGAGACACGGUCCAGACUCCUACGGGAGGCAGCAGUGGGGAAUAUUGGACAAUGGGCGAAAGCCUGAUCCAGCCAUGCCGCGUGUGUGAAGAAGGUCUUCGGAUUGUAAAGCACUUUAAGUUGGGAGGAAGGGCAGUAAAUUAAUACUUUGCUGUUUUGACGUUACCGACAGAAUAAGCACCGGCUAACUCUGUGCCAGCCGCCGCGGUAA
rnacentral:rRNA from 1 species